rnacentral:rRNA from 1 species
AAUGAACGCUAGCUACAGGCUUAACACAUGCAAGUCGAGGGGCAGCACAGUGUAGCAAUACAUGGGUGGCGACCGGCGCACGGGUGCGUAACGCGUAUCCAACCUUCCCGUUACUCUGGGAUAGCCCUCCGAAAGGGAGAUUAAUACAAGAUGGUAUUCAAAUUCCGCAUGUUUGUUGAAUUAAAGAUUUAUCGGUACCGGACGGGGAUGCGUGACAUUAGAUAGGAGGCGGGGUAACGUGCCACCUAGUUUACGAUGUCUAGGGGUUCUGAGAGGAAGGUCCCCCACACUGGAACUGAGACACGGUCCAGACUCCUACGGGAGGCAGCAGUGAGGAAUAUUGGUCAAUGGUCGGAAGACUGAACCAGCCAAGUAGCGUGAAGGAUGAAGGUUCUAUGGAUUGUAAACUUCUUUUAUACGGGAAUAAAACACCUUACGUGUAGGGUCUUGUAUGUACCGUAUGAAUAAGCAUCGGCUAACUCCGUGCCAGCCGCCGCGGUAAUAC